rnacentral:rRNA from 1 species
AGCGAACGCUGGCGGCAGGCUUAACACAUGCAAGUCGAGCGGGCAUAGCAAUAUGCCAGCGGCAGACGGGUGAGUAACGCGUGGGAACGUACCUUUGGUUCGGAACAACACAGGGAAACUUGUGCUAAUACCGGAUAAGCCCUUACGGGGAAAGAUUUAUCGCCGAAAGAGCGGCCCGCGUCUGAUUAGCUAGUUGGUGAGGUAAUGGCUCACCAAGGCGACGAUCAGUAGCUGGUCUGAGAGGAUGAUCAGCCACAUUGGGACUGAGACACGGCCCAAACUCCUACGGGAGGCAGCAGUGGGGAAUAUUGGACAAUGGGCGCAAGCCUGAUCCAGCCAUGCCGCGUGAGUGAUGAAGGCCCUAGGGUUGUAAAGCUCUUUGUGCGGGAAGAUAAUGACGGUACCGCAAGAAUAAGCCCCGGCUAACUUCGUGCCAGCAGCCGCGGUAAU